rnacentral:rRNA from 1 species
GGCGAAUGGGUGAGUAACACGUGAGUAACCUGCCCUUGACUUUGGGAUAACUUCAGGAAACUGGGGCUAAUACCGGAUAGGAGCUCCUGCUGCAUGGUGGGGGUUGGAAAGGUUUCGGCGGUUGGGGAUGGACUCGCGGCUUAUCAGCUUGUUGGUGGGGUAGUGGCUUACCAAGGCUUUGACGGGUAGCCGGCCUGAGAGGGUGACCGGCCACAUUGGGACUGAGAUACGGCCCAG